UACUGGAAAGUUAGAUAACUAGAUAAACAGUUGAAUAUUGUGUAUAAAUGCCUGAAAGGAGGGAAUGUAAGAGUGAGAUGUUUAUUUACAUGCCUAAGGUCUGUUUUUCGAUUUUAGAUAAAUUUCGCGUGAACCGAUUUCAACCGAAAUCCACUGGUGCAGACGCAAUCAGUCACGUGCCAUAUAAAACUUCCGGGAGUUUCUAACUAAUUGGCACAAUGACGUGUCAGUCUACGGAACUGUACACUCUCGCGUUAUGUUCCAAAUGAAGACCCGGAUAAGCCUAUCCUUCUCUAAUGCCAAGUCCCGUAUAACAGGACCUGGCGAAGUCCCUACUUCACGGGUGAUGAACACUCUCAGUAGAGCCUUCCUUCACCAGUUGCUGUCGUUGGUAGUGAAAGGAAGUCUAGAGGCGUCGAUUUGACAAUGUAGGGCGUGUGUCAGACUGCUUGACUUCGUGGAAAGACGGCGAAAGUUGGGGUGAUUUGUCGCUGUGGCGACCGUAGCGUCUUCCUUUGUCAAUUUUGUCCACGGAAAGGCCCCAGCCAGCAACCCAAUGUUGAUCACCCUACGUGCACAGAAUAGGAUGAGGAACAUGGCGCUUAGCGACCGGAAGUUUGUGGUUUUCAAGUCGUCGCUAUUGCCCGGUGAUUCAUCGUUUUCAAGGUAUUCACAUUUUUUUGAAUUUGGUAGGCAUUAUAGCAUGCCGUCGUGGCGUUGUAAGGUGCUUGGUGGUGAUUUCAGGUACUUGUGGGAUAAUUUAUUGAGGCUUGUCAACGCGUUACGGUGUGGGAGCCCAACUUUUGAGCCUCCCCUGCAUUUUGUCCAAGGGUCAGAAGACUAGUUAGGGCUCUCCUAGUUCUGUUCAGAUGUAAAUCUUUUGUUUACCGCUAGUCUUUUAGAAUCCUCGUCCUCUGGUAGUGUAUAGAGUACUUAACAAUAUCUGCAUUUCGCCUUGCAUGCCAAUUGUUGUAGGCGGGGCAUACACAAGUUAGUGCUAAGCUUUACCAGCUGCAUUCUGUGCCAUUGUUGCACGUGGGAACGCUGGCAAUUGCGAAUCGUGUGUACUCCGAGUCGUCUUCAGUGGCUGCUUGGUCUGUUUGACACACUGUAAACACUACAGCGGCGGUGUAAAUAAUUUCACUGUUUGAUCGUGUACAGGUAUCCUCCUGUCCAUCUCCAUUGCUUGUCGAGGAGUUGGUCUCACAGCGCUCUUGAUUUGUUUGAGGCAUUUAAUGACUUGAAAGUGGUGUGGCUCGCUGUGCGUGUAGCAGCCGUUUUUUCUCCUUAUUUUUGAGAACGAGCAGAGAAAGUUCCGGUUUCACUCCACCGUCAAAAAAGGGUAGGAAAUCUUUGCUUUGCGCUGGCCAUGUGUGCGGAUCUUGCCAGGUAUGGUUCCAACUAGGUAGCCCGUCGACUGUUGCACAUCUUCACAGCAGUGAAGACAUUAGACACCCUGCGACUGAGAAAAAAGCACCUCAAUUUUCUACUUACCUUUCCAUGGGCAGAGACGUCCAAUUUCAAUUGGGCUCUGACAGUUGCCUCUGUAAGGCGUGCUACACAGAUUGCUUGAGGCAUGCUCCAAAAAUGAUAGAAAGGCCAAGAUGGCAAAAACAUAGUCAACUAUGGCAUUGCCCCUUGUGUGAUAAAGAGUCCGACAAAGAUUGCAUGUGCAAAGACAUUUCUUCUUGGCACCUUCUGUCUGAUUUAAUAGAUGCACAGCCAGAAAUGCUGAAAGUCUAUGUUAAUCUGCAUGUUGAUUUUGAUUCAUGACUUCGAAAGAUAAAGCUUUAUUUUUAGUUAUGGGUGAUUUCUCAUUGCACAUGUGCAGUAAACGUAUACUGUAAUCUGCCCCAUGUGUUUGCCCUACUGAAGUUUGAAUGCCCAGUUGAUUUCGCACCGAGGCAUCAGCACCCCUGGUGCUAUUACUAUUAGCACCUGGUGCUAUUACUAUUAGCACAGGUAAUAGGUCUUGUGGACUGUUCAAAGACUAGACAGAUUUGGGUGGGUCAAUGAAGUCCCGGAUGUUGCAUGGCAACACAUCAGAUGUGUGACCUGCUCCUGUUUUGCUAUGAAAGUCUCAUUUGUUACUGUAUUUAUUCAAAGGUUAUGUGUGUUGACCUGACCGUCUCUUGUGUUUAUAUACAGUUUGACGUUGACACUGCUGGUAAGUACUUUGAUCAAAUGUCAAUAACACUGUUGCUUAGAAAUGUUCUGUGGCAGGCAGCAGAUCCUUCCUGAAUUGGCUCAUGGUCACAGCACACAACUGAAGCUGCACAAAGGGCAAUCACUGUGAAGAUUCCUAGGUCGACAGCAGAAUCAGUAGGACAUGCUUUACUCUGCGUAGAUCACUACGGGAGACUACCUGUUGGGGUGUGGUGCCUCCAAAGAAUAGAAACUUGUCCAUAACUUUCUUACGCAGGGCUGUGGAAGAAAAUAGAAAAUACUGGACUGUCGGCAAGGCACUGCCACUGUCAACAUACAAUUAGAAUUGUCGCUGUCUUCUACAAUUGAGAAUAUACAGACCUGUUGUCUUGUCUGCUGA